rnacentral:rRNA from 1 species
GACGAACGCUGGCGGCGUGCCUAAUACAUGCAAGUCGAGCGGACCGGAUGGAAGCUUGCUUUCGUCCGGUUAGCGGCGGACGGGUGAGUAACACGUGGGCAACCUGCCCGUAAGACCGGGAUAACUUCGGGAAACCGGAGCUAAUACCGGAUAACACCGAAGACCGCAUGGUCUUUGGUUGAAAGGCGGCUUUGGCUGUCACUUACGGAUGGGCCCGCGGCGCAUUAGCUAGUUGGUGAGGUAACGGCUCACCAAGGCGACGAUGCGUAGCCGACCUGAGAGGGUGAUCGGCCACACUGGGACUGAGACACGGCCCAGACUCCUACGGGAGGCAGCAGUAGGGAAUCUUCCGCAAUGGACGAAAGUCUGACGGAGCAACGCCGCGUGAGCGAAGAAGGUCUUCGGAUUGUAAAGCUCUGUUGUUAGGGAAGAACAAGUACCGUUCGAAGAGGGCGGUAUCGUGACGGUACCUAACGAGAAAGCCACGGCUAACUACGUGCCAGCAGCCGCCGUAAGAC